rnacentral:rRNA from 1 species
GACGAACGCUGGCGGCGCGCUUAACACAUGCAAGUCGAACGGAAAGGCCUGCUUUCCCUUGUGGAUUGCGGGUACUCGAGUGGCGAACGGGUGAGUAACACGUGAGUGAUCUGCCCCCAACUUGGGUAUAAGCCUGGGAAACUGGGUCUAAUUCCCGAUAGGACUGCAGGGUGGUGCCUGUGGUGGAAAACGAUUUUCUAGUGGUUGGGGAUGAGCUCGCGGCCUAUCAGCUUGUUGGUGGGGUAAUGGCCUACCAAGGCGGCGACGGGUAGCCGGCCUGAGAGGGUGGACGGCCACUGGGACUGAGAUACGGCCCAGACUCCUACGGGAGGCAGCAGUGGGGAAUAUUGCACAAUGGGCGGAAGCCUGAUGCAGCGACGCCGCGUGGGGGAUGACGGCCUUCGGGUUGUAAACUCCUUUCGACCGCGAGGAAGCCACCUGGUUGGAAGGGUGGUGACGGUAGUGGUAGAAGAAGCACCGGCUAACUACGUG